rnacentral:rRNA from 1 species
CUCUUCCUACGGGACGCAGCAGUGAGGAAUAUUGGUCAAUGGACGAGAGUCUGAACCAGCCAAGUAGCGUGAAGGAUGACUGCCCUAUGGGUUGUAAACUUCUUUUAUAUGGGAAUAAAGUUUUCCACGUGUGGAAUUUUGUAUGUACCAUAUGAAUAAGGAUCGGCUAACUCCGUGCCAGCAGCCGCGGUAAUACGGAGGAUCCGAGCGUUAUCCGGAAUGAUUGGGCGUAAAGGGUGCGUAGGCGGCCUGCUAAGUCUGGAGUGAAAGGUACCGGCUCAACCGGUACAGGCUCUGGAAACUGG